AUUGAACGCUGGCGGCAGGCCUAACACAUGCAAGUCGAGCGCGGGGCGGGGGGGUGAGUAAUGUAUGGGGAUCUGCCCGAGAGAGGGGGAUAACUACUGGACACGGGGGCUAAUACCGCAUACUAUCGGAUGAACCCAUAUGGGAGUAGCUAGUAGGUGGGGUAAAGGCUCACCUAGGCGACGAUCUCUAGCUGGUCUGAGAGGAUGAUCAGCCACACUGGGACUGAGACACGGCCCAGACUCCUACGGGAGGCAGCAGUAGGGAAUAUUGGGCAAUGGGCGAAAGUCUGACCCAGCAAUGCCGCGUGUGUGAAGAAGGUUUUCGGAUCGUAAAGCACUGUUGUUAGAGAGGCGGUACCUAAAGAGGAAGCCACGGCUAACUCCGUGCCAGCCGCCGCGGUAAUAC
rnacentral:rRNA from 1 species